AAAUCUCCAGCCCUCUCUGCCUUCUCUCUCCUCUAUGUAAUCUACUUUUCACGUCUCUGAACUUGUUUAUGUUGUUCUUUCCGCCUGGAAUUCUCUGUGCCACCUUUCUAAGCCUGGAAAAGUUCUGUUAAUCCACUUCCCCAGCCAAAGAUGGCUGCUCCAGCUCCCACGAUCACGUCUGAAUUCCAGUUAGCCAGGAGUGGCAAUGGAGAGGGAAUGCUUUCUCCUAUAAAGGGCUCAAUUUGCAAUUGGAGCACAUCCCUUCUGCUCAAUUUCAUCAGCCAGGACUGAAUUACGUGGCCUCAUCUACCUGCAGGAGGGGGAAAAGUUCCUCUACCAAAAUUAUCUUGAAUGAUUCAACCGCUUCAAAUCCUUCAACAGUUCCCAAUCACUUACAGAUGGAAGUCCAAACCCCCCUGGCGGGAUUUUCAAGGUCUCCUCUUUUUAAAAAACGGAAUCUUUGGCAAAUCAAAGGUGGAACUAGAACCUAAGUCAACUGACUCCUGUUCUAAUAAUCCCUGGACAAAUAGCUAUAGUAAAUGUAGUAAGUUCUACAAGAAAGAUUAAGAUAGAGCACAGGGGUGGAUGGGGAGGCCCAUUUGUCAUAUGAUGCUUGCAUCUCCUCAGCCAUUCAUUUCCAGGGAUUGGAAUGCCUCCUAAAAGAUUAACCAUAGUCAUCUCGGGGUGGCAGAGUUGCAG
rnacentral:lncRNA from 1 species